UUUGGCCGCCCCUCCCCUCUCUCUUCCACUCUUGCAGCCGCCCCAAUCCCUCUCCUUCUUCCCCAUGUGAUUGCAGCGCCACCCCUCAACCCUAGCCCCCCCCCCCACCUCUUCCUCUCCAAGGUGGAGCCUCCCCGCUUGGUGUCCGUCGUGUGGGUGCGAGUCUUCCAUGGGAGUUUGGAGGGAGGAAGAAGGAAGAAAAGAAGGAGGAAAGGAGGAACCCAAGGUGAUUUUCGUGAUCAUUUUGUUGUAUUUGUGCUGCAAUCCAAUUGGUUACAUGUUUAUCUAUGCGAUUUGGUAGAGGUGCUGUCCAGAAAUUUAGUGGGUGGACGAACAGCAGUAGUUCUAGUGAUUUCUGGGAAUUUUUCGUGGGCAAUUAGUAGGGAUCAGUGGGAGAAUCAUGUAGAGCUUUGUCAUACCUUUCCAACGAGUACUUAUGCGCUCGAUUUGGAGUUAUAAUUUAGGAGAUAUCGUUGUUUGAAUUCGGUUAUGUUGCUGUCCAAAAAAACAGAUUUUUCAGGUGGGUGAACAGCAGUAGUAUUAGCAGUUUCUGUGAAUUUUUCGUGGGUAAUUAGUGUUAACCAGUAUGAUAAUCAUGUAGGGCUUUGUCUUAUCUUUCCAAUAAGUACUUAUGUGCUUGAUUUGGAAUUAUAUUUUAAAAGAUAUCGCUGUUUGAAUCCGGGUAUGUCGCUGUCCAAAAGACAAAAAAAAAACAGAUUACAGGGUUCAUCUUGUGGACUGUUUUGGCUAAUUAGAUGUUGGAAUUUAAUUAUAAAUUGUAUACAAAACUUGUGGGGAAUUUCAUGUAGAUGCCUCUAGAGUUUUUGUUUGUUACCACUGCUGUCAUAAUUUUAAAGUUAUGAAAUUAUUAAGCAGCGCCGCUGCAGUUUGGUGGGUGUGGGGAGAGAUGUAACCCGCGGCGGGGUUUGAGUUUGUGCGUAGGUGCGGCGUCGUUUAUGGGCCUGAUUAUGUGAAAUUGGUGCACUAAGUUGUGUGUCAAAAACAGGUGGUGGACUUCCGGAUCGUACUUAGGGAUUUGCCCGAACUUCCGGUAAAGGCAAGUAAAUACAGUGGUGGUUGCUACCGUUUGGGUUGCAUCCUAUUCCCUGACAUUGAGUAUGCAUAAGUUUUAAUUAUGUUAAUCAUUGAAUUCUAUGAUGAAGUUUAUUUGUUUGGAAGUAUUAAUUCUCAAUUGUCUAAUAUUGUGGAUGAUCAUAAUUUGGUAAUGAUAUAUGUGGUUGAUUCCCAUCUUGGAUGAAGUUGAAGUAUUUUUUUGGAUCACGUUAUAUGAAGUGUUGUAGGCAUGACAUGCUCAUCGCAUCAUCCAUCUUGCAUUUUGAAGUUAUGUCGUGAUCUUAUGGUCCGACCGUACCGGUACAUUUUUAGCAUCGUACGUUGCCCGAGGAGGGGUACGAUGCGGCUUCAUAUCCUUAGAGGUAUGAAGGCAGAAGUCAUCCUUGCAUUUGCAGACAUUUGCACUCAUGAGGUAUAUAUGAAGUGUGACAUUACUAUGUUACUAUUGUGGUUUCUACCUGCGAGGUGUGGUGACUAGGUGUGUUGUACGUUGUAUACGUGCUGCACCUUCGUAAUAAGAAGGUUGUGGAAUCAAGUGGUGGUAAACAAUGUUCUUAUGUGGUUAAACAGUUUGAUAUUAUUUUACUUGCUGAGAUGUGUCAUCUCACUCUUGCAUUACUCAAUGCAGGUACUUGAUACAUGUUGGGAAUGAGGGGAGUAGCAGCACGUCCACUUUCACUCUCACAAUAACGCUGCCCAGGCACAGCCAUGAUUUAAUUAGAAACUUGUUGUCAAAGGAAGUUUGUUUUUUUUAACUAGUCGUGCGCACUAGUUAAUUCACUUCAUGUCGUAUGUUUAACUUAUCGUUGCUAGCCGAUUAAUAAUACUUAGUAUGUUUUUGUCAUGAUAUAUGUUUAUACACUGUUGCCCCCUCAUUUAUGCAAUUUUGCAAGGGGGAUGCUGCCGAAAUUUUAUAUAUAGAUGUCAGAAGUGAUGUUUAGUAGCAUUCCAGGGUGUUGGUGGACCCCGGGGUGUUACACAACUCCAUAUACAACUAGUCCACUUUAGCCAAACGGGACAUUUGCUGAGUACAUUGCUGUGUACUCACCCUUGCUUUACACACCACCCCCACCCUAGGUUGUCCCCAGUGCACCCAAUGCUCAAGAGGUGAUGCUGGCAACAUGGAUGACUUCGAGGAGUUCCAGGAAUAUGACGAGUUCUAGUUCUUUCUUAGUGGCAAACCCCCAGUUAGCUGCCUGUGCAGGCUUAGCAUCUACGUUUCGUAUUUCUGCACUUUGAUAAUUACGUUAAAGACAAUGGUUAUGUAAUAGACUCUAU
rnacentral:lncRNA from 1 species